GGCGGAUGUAGCCAAGUGGAUCAAGGCAGUGGAUUGU
rnacentral:tRNA from 9 species